AUAUAAACCACCUGCAUUAUCUUGUUAAAAUGCAGAUUCUAAUUUAGUAGUUAGGAGUGGGAUCAGAGAUUCUGAAUUUCUAA
rnacentral:miRNA from 1 species